UACGAAGGGGGCUAGCGUUGUUCGGAAUUACUGGGCGUAAAGCGCACGUAGGCGGAUUUGUAAGUCAGGGGUGAAAUCCCGGGGCUCAACCUCGGAACUGCCUUUGAUACUGCGAGUCUCGAGUCCGAUAGAGGUGGGUGGAAUUCCUAGUGUAGAGGUGAAAUUCGUAGAUAUUAGGAAGAACACCGGUGGCGAAGGCGGCCCACUGGAUCGGUACUGACGCUGAGGUGCGAAAGCGUGGGGAGCAAACAGG
rnacentral:rRNA from 1 species